GACGAACGCUGGCGGCGUGCUUAACACAUGCAAGUCGAACGGAAAGGCCCUGCUUUUGUGGGGUGCUCGAGUGGCGAACGGGUGAGUAACACGUGAGUAACCUGCCCUUUACUUUGUGAUAACUUCAGGAAACUGGGUCUAAUACCUGAUAGGAGCUCCUGCUUCAUGGUUGGGGUUGGAAAGUUUCGGCGUUUGGGGAUGGACUCGCGGCUUAUCAGCUUGUUGGUGGGGUAGUGGCUUACCAAGGCUUUGACGGGUAGCCGGCCUGAGAGGGUGACCGGCCACAGUGGGACUGAGAUACGGCCCAGAGUGCUACGGGAGGCAGCAGUGGGGAAUAUUGCACAAUGGGCGGAAGCAUGAUGCAGAAACGCCGCGUGCGGGAUGACGGCCUUCGGGUUGUAAAAAGAUUUAGAAUGUGACGAAGAGUGAGUGACGGUAAUGGGUAAAGAAGCACCGGCUAACUACGUG
rnacentral:rRNA from 1 species